GCGGAUAUGGUGGAAUUGGUAGACACGCAAGCUUGAGGGGCUUGUGAGGGCAACCUCAUGGGAGUUCAAGUCUCCCUAUCCGCA
rnacentral:tRNA from 1 species